rfam:Melissococcus plutonius ATCC 35311 DNA, complete genome.
AAAUAAAAGUAGGAGCUACCCGCUUCUCGCCUUAGCAGACUUUGUCACUGGGCUAGAUAGUAAUUAUUCAUUUUUAGCAAUUAUGAAUAAAGAUAAGUGCGGGUUCUGUUAUGACAGUACCUGUUUUUUUAUUAUCAG